UAAGAGUUUGAUCCUGGCUCAGAUUGAACGCUGGCGGCAUGCUUUACACAUGCAAGUCGGACGGCAGCACAGGAAGCUUGCUUCUCGGGUGGCGAGUGGCGAACGGGUGAGUAACAUAUCGGAACGUACCGGGUAGCGGGGAUAACUGAUCGAAAGAUCAGCUAAUACCGCAUACGUCUUGAGAGGGAAAGCAGGGACCUUCGGGCCUUGCGCUAUCCGAGCGGCCGAUAUCUGAUUAGCUGGUUGGCGGGGUAAAGGCCCACCAAGGCGACGAUCAGUAGCGGGUCUGAGAGGAUGAUCCGCCACACUGGGACUGAGACACGGCCCAGACUCCUACGGGAGGCAGCAGUGGGGAAUUUUGGACAAUGGGCGCAAGCCUGAUCCAGCCAUGCCGCGUGUCUGAAGAAGGCCUUCGGGUUGUAAAGGACUUUUGUCAGGGAAGAAAAGGCCGUUGCCAAUAUCGGCGGCCGAUGACGGUACCUGAAGAAUAAGCACCGGCUAACUACGUGCCAGCAGCCGCGGUAAUACGUAGGGUGCGAGCGUUAAUCGGAAUUACUGGGCGUAAAGCGGGCGCAGACGGUUACUUAAGCAGGAUGUGAAAUCCCCGGGCUCAACCCGGGAACUGCGUUCUGAACUGGGUGACUCGAGUGUGUCAGAGGGAGGUGGAAUUCCACGUGUAGCAGUGAAAUGCGUAGAGAUGUGGAGGAAUACCGAUGGCGAAGGCAGCCUCCUGGGAUAACACUGACGUUCAUGUCCGAAAGCGUGGGUAGCAAACAGGAUUAGAUACCCUGGUAGUCCACGCCCUAAACGAUGUCAAUUAGCUGUUGGGCAACUUGAUUGCUUGGUAGCGUAGCUAACGCGUGAAAUUGACCGCCUGGGGAGUACGGUCGCAAGAUUAAAACUCAAAGGAAUUGACGGGGACCCGCACAAGCGGUGGAUGAUGUGGAUUAAUUCGAUGCAACGCGAAGAACCUUACCUGGUUUUGACAUGUGCGGAAUCCUCCGGAGACGGAGGAGUGCCUUCGGGAGCCGUAACACAGGUGCUGCAUGGCUGUCGUCAGCUCGUGUCGUGAGAUGUUGGGUUAAGUCCCGCAACGAGCGCAACCCUUGUCAUUAGUUGCCAUCAUUCGGUUGGGCACUCUAAUGAGACUGCCGGUGACAAGCCGGAGGAAGGUGGGGAUGACGUCAAGUCCUCAUGGCCCUUAUGACCAGGGCUUCACACGUCAUACAAUGGUCGGUACAGAGGGUAGCCAAGCCGCGAGGCGGAGCCAAUCUCACAAAACCGAUCGUAGUCCGGAUUGCACUCUGCAACUCGAGUGCAUGAAGUCGGAAUCGCUAGUAAUCGCAGGUCAGCAUACUGCGGUGAAUACGUUCCCGGUCUUGUACACACCGCCCGUCACACCAUGGGAGUGGGGAUACCAGAAGUAGGUAGGGUAACCGCAAGGAGUCCGCUUACCACGGUAUGCUUCAUGACUGGGGUGAAGUCGUAACAAGGUAGCCGUAGGGGAACCUGCGGCUGGAUCACCUCCUUU
rnacentral:rRNA from 1 species